GCUCACUUUGGCAGCACAAACUACAAUUGGAAUGAUACAGAGAAGAUUGGCGUGGCCUCUGUGUAAGGAUGACACGCAAAUUUGUGAAGCAUUCCAUAUUUUC